rnacentral:lncRNA from 1 species
AACACUUUUUAUAAUUAGUUCGUUACUAAACUUUACCAUCCGCGACACUGCGCCGCCUCCUUGCACGACGUUCCGGCGGCACCCUCUCCCCUUACCGUCUUGCUUUUCGUCGCAGCGCUCGUGCAGUGACAUUCCGCAAAUCGACGUCAACAUCAAGACCGUUUUCUGAACGGAGUGCGGAUCUGACGCGAAUCCUGGUCGCGAAACUGAAGAGUUGGGUGUGGCCGCAGAUUAGUUGGGUGCGACAACCGUGACCGCACAUCCCCAUCUUUUGGGUUGGUUAUUUUUGGCGGCAACGCAGUGAGAUCUCCUUGAACCGAGUUUUUUUUUUAAAGUACAGCACCGUGAAGGCUGACAGCUUGGGCUGCUUGGCCAUCGUCACAAACACUGUUACUCAGAUUUCACUUUUUAGAUUUAUUAAUUAAAACAUGUUCUUUGAUGAUUUGGUCUUGGUGUUGUCUUUGAAACCCACGGGGUUUGCUGUAACUGGCGUCACAAUGACGCCGCAUCGCAGUGGCGACCGUCGACUACCGCGA